UACGUAGGUGGCAAGCGUUGUCCGGAAUUAUUGGGCGUAAAGCGCGCGCAGGCGGUUCCUUAAGUCUGAUGUGAAAGCCCACGGCUCAACCGUGGAGGGUCAUUGGAAACUGGGGGACUUGAGUGCAGAAGAGGAGAGCGGAAUUCCACGUGUAGCGGUGAAAUGCGUAGAGAUGUGGAGGAACACCAGUGGCGAAGGCGGCUCUCUGGUCUGUAACUGACGCUGAGGCGCGAAAGCGUGGGGAGCAAACAGGAUUAGAUACCCGUGUAGUCC
rnacentral:rRNA from 1 species